UGGCUGAGAGGUAAAGUGUUUAGCUUCUGAACAAGGGUCCCAGGUUCAAAUCCUGG
rnacentral:tRNA from 1 species